UUUCGUAGGUGAACCUGCGGAAGGAUCAUUG
rnacentral:rRNA from 6 species